rnacentral:tRNA from 1 species
UCCUCGAUGGUCUAACGGUUCAUGAUUUCCGCUUGUCACCAUUAGGAACAAGCGCGGGAGACCUGGGUUCGACUCCCAGUCGGGGAG